GGAGACAAAGCUCCCUCCUGUGUGUCCCUGGUGGUCUAGUGGCUAGGAUUCGGCGCUUUCACCGCCGCGGCCCGGGUUCGAUUCCCGGCCAGGGAAUUGUUUUACACUGGCCGCCCUCCCGCAGGAAUCUUCCUUCACUACGCUGUCAGCCGGCCUGCUCCAAGGGCCAGAAGCAGAACAGUCUCCGCAGCGGGGUUAAAGCCGGGCGAAGGAGGGCAAGCGCUGGUGGACCACCUCUCACGACACACCGUUCCUGUUUAUCUCCGUGUCCGUCAUCCGCCGAAGCAGCUUUAGAGAGCGACUGAGCGUCUCGCUCCGGUGUACACAGCCCGGCAGAGAUGCCAGCCCCCGUGGAGCUGCACCCAAUAAGCCCACCUUCUUUCCCGUCGCCACCCCGGAGACGCCCAUCGGGCUGAGCUGCGAAUAACUAAGAGAGAGGCCAAGCCAAGUCGUGGCGUUUGUGGCAACCCCGGACACGGGCACCAGCCAGUCAGCGGAGCCUCCUCACCUCCGUUGCCAGCGAAGGCGCUCGUUAGGCCUUGGGAAGAGGCGACCGGAGGCGAUGCCCGCGAAUUUGUUAGGGGGAGUUGCUGAUCCCUGUGAUUUCCUCCAUGUGGGAAACGGUGUUUGUGCUAGAAGAGGCUGCGCUCUUUACCUGACAUAACGGGGUUCAAGACUGACAACGCCUCACGCCCACCCGAAAACGUUUACAUGGCUUCCUUGUCUCUUUUUUUUUCUGUCCUAAAGUCGCCUCAUCUUCACAUCCCCUCUUUUUUUUCUUCCACACUCGAGAGUGUCUCUCUCUCUCAGUAAAAGCUCCACCAAAUAUUUGAAAUAUCUCAACCAGAAAGACUGCAAUAAAUACAUUAUUUCAUUCGUGGAA
rnacentral:misc_RNA from 1 species